GUGCUAGAAAAGUACACAAUUGAAAGCAAUGGGAAGUUGCAUGAAUAAUGAAAAAGACUUAGAAAGGUUCUCCAGCAUUUCCAGAAAGAGAAUAAUAGUAUUAGAGUUUCUCUGCCAUGUGCCUGUCCAAUUCCUACUUUUGGAAGUGAACUCCUUGAAGGCAAGGACCAGAUUUCUAUCCCUAGGACUCAGCACCAUACCUGAUACACUGUCCAGGAGUGCAAGUCCAUUUGGGAAAUCUAUUGACUGAAGAAAACUCUAGACCUGGGUGAGUUCUUAGUUAAUUUUCUUAUUUAUACAGCAAUCAUUUGUGAAAGAUUUAUUUUUGUACAAAGUAUAUUGAAAAAAUAUUAAGUUUUGCUUUUAAAAAUGUCCCAGUACUCAGAGACUUUACAGUUUAGUAGAAUAUAGAAGACCUUUGGGUUAUGAGUCACUUUUUGGAGAAGCACCAGUUGUGAUUGUACGCCCUACUUCUUGGAACUCCUUGAGCAGAGGUUCUUAAUUACAAGUCAUUGAAAAUAUUUAUGGAUAAAUUUCAUGGGAAUGAGGGAUGGGGAGAAGAGCAGUCUGAACUUGAAAGGGGAAAAAUAAUUCUCCUUUAAUUAUAAUAGAUUUCUUUGUAAUCUAAUGUAUUUUAUUUUACACAUUUAAAAGCAUCAUUCUGAGAGGGGAUCCAUUGGUAUGUAUAGAUCUAUAAAACAAAAUUAGAUAAAUACCCCUGUACUAUAAAGGGACUUCAGUGCCAACCUGCUAUUUCUAAAGAUCUAAAAAUGUAGGAUCAUCUGAUUUGAGGGAAAGAAAUCUUUUUGGUCUUUUUCCUGUGCCUCAAUUUGUCUGUUUCUAUAGGAGUUUUAUAUUUGUUCAUAUUGUUUUUCACCACUAAUAAUUAUAAAAAGAGUAGUUGGCAUUUCUAUGGCAUUCUAAGAUUUGUAAUUUUCUCAUUUGAGACUAUCAGCCCAAUAAUCAAUUUAGUUUUCUGUCUCAAUCUAUUUAACAUCUAUGGUAAAAUGAGAAGCA
rnacentral:lncRNA from 1 species